UGGGGAAUAUUGCCCAAUGGGGGGAACCCUGACGCAGCCAUGCCGCGUGAAUGAAGAAGGCCUUCGGGUUGUAAAGUUCUUUCGGUAUUGAGGAAGGUUGAUGUGUUAAUAGCACAUCAAAUUGACGUUAAAUACAGAAGAAGCACCGGCUAACUCCGUGCCAGCAGCCGCGGUAAUACGGAGGGUGCGAGCGUUAAUCGGAAUAACUGGGCGUAAAGGGCACGCAGGCGGUUAUUUAAGUGAGGUGUGAAAGCCCCGGGCUUAACCUGGGAAUUGCAUUUCAGACUGGGUAACUAGAGUACUUUAGGGAGGGGUAGAAUUCCACGUGUAGCGGUGAAAUGCGUAGAGAUGUGGAGGAAUACCGAAGGCGAAGGCAGCCCCUUGGGAAUGUACUGACGCUCAUGUGCGAAAGCGUGGGGAGCAAACAGGAUUAGAUACCCUGGUAGUCCACGCUGUAAACGCNUGUCGAUUUGGGGGUUGGGGUUUAACUCUGGCGCCCGUAGCUAACGUGAUAAAAUCGACCGCCUGGGGGAGUACGGCCGCAAGGUUA
rnacentral:rRNA from 1 species